GAUGAACGCUAGCGACAGGCCUAACACAUGCAAGUCGAGGGGCAGCACAAGGUAGCAAUACUUGGGUGGCGACCGGCGGACGGGUGAGUAACACGUAUGCAACCUGCCCGUAAUCGGGGGAUAACCCGGAGAAAUUCGGACUAAAACUCCAUGAAUCUGAGAUAUCGCAUGAUAAAACAGAAAAACGCAAGGAUUACGGAUGGGCAUGCGGAUGAUUAGCUAGUUGGAGGGGUAACGGCCCGCCAAGGCGACGAUCAUUAGGGGUUCUGAGAGGAAGGUCCCCCACAUUGGAACUGAGAGACGGUCCAAACUCCUACGGGAGGCAGCAGUGAGGAAUAUUGGUCAAUGGGCGAGAGCCUGAACCAGCCAAGUCGCGUGAAGGAAGAAGGUCUUAUGGAUUGUAAACUUCUUUAGCAGAGGGAUAAAGGUUAUUACGAGAUAAUAAUUUGCAGGUACUCUGCGAAAAAGAUCGGCUAACUCCGUGCCAGCAGCCGCGGUAAAACGUG
rnacentral:rRNA from 1 species